GCAUAUCAAUAAGCGGAGGAAAAGAAACUAACAAGGAUUCCCCUAGUAACUGCGAGUGAAGAGGGAAAAGCUCAAAUUUAAAAUCUGGCAGUUUCACUGUCCGAGUUGUAAUUUAGAGAAGUGUUGCCCGCGUUGGACCGUGUACAAGUCUCCUGGAACGGAGCGUCAUAGAGGGUGAGAAUCCCGUCUUUGACACGGACUACCAAGGCUUUGUGGUACGCUCUCGAAGAGUCGAGUUGUUUGGGAAUGCAGCUCUAAAUGGGUGGUAAAUUCCAUCUAAAGCUAAAUAUUGGCGAGAGACCGAUAGCAAACAAGUACCGUGAGGGAAAGAUGAAAAGAACUUUGGAAAGAGAGUUAAACAGUACGUGAAAUUGUUGAAAGGGAAACGCUUAAAGUCCAGUCGCGUUGGUUAGGAAUCAGCCUUGGUUUUCCUUGGUGCACUUCCUAGUCGACGGGUCAACAUCAGUUUUGACCGUUGGAUAAAGGUCAAGGGAAUGUGGCACCUUCGGGUGUGUUAUAGCCUUUGAUUGUAUACAGCGGUUGGGACUGAGGAACUCAGCACGCCGAAAGGCCGGGUCUUGUACCACGUUCGUGCUUAGGAUGUUGGCAUAAUGGCUUUAAUCGACCCGUCUUGAAACACGGACCAAGGAGUCUAACAUGCCUGCGAGUGUUUGGGUGGAAAACCCGAGCGCGUAAUGAAAGUGAAAGUUGAGAACUCUUAGAGUGCAUCGACGCCCGGAGCAGACCUUUUGUGACGCAUCCGCGGUAGAGCAUGUAUGUUGGGACCCGAAAGAUGGUGAACUAUGCCUGAAUAGGGUGAAGCCAGAGGAAACUCUGGUGGAGGCUSGUAGCGAUUCUGACGUGCAAAYCGAUCGUCGAAUUUGGGUAUAGGGGCGAAAGACUAAUCGAACCAUCUAGUAGCUGGUUCCUGCCGA
rnacentral:rRNA from 1 species